CUUGAAUGAGGUUUAUUUUUUUCUUUAUGGUUAAUGCUUUUUAUGUCCUGUUUUAGAAAUGUUUGCCUAGGCCAAGGUCAUGAUGUUAAGGAGCACUAAUUUUUAAUGUUUUUCCCAAACAAAAUUAACCUUUUGGAUGCUGCAUUGGUGAU